rnacentral:rRNA from 1 species
GACGAACGCUGGCGGCGUGCUUAACACAUGCAAGUCGAACGGAAAGGCCCUGCUUUUGUGGGGUGCUCGAGUGGCGAACGGGUGAGUAACACGUGAGUAACCUGCCCUUGACUUUGGGAUAACUUCAGGAAACUGGGGCUAAUACCGGAUAGGAGCUUCUGCUGCACGGUGGUGGUUGGAAAGUUUCGGCGGUUGGGGAUGGACUCGCGGCUUAUCAGCUUGUUGGUGGGGUAGUGGCUUACCAAGGCUUUGACGGGUAGCCGACCUGAGAGGGUGACCGGCCACAAUGGGACUGAGAUACGGCCCAGACUCCUACGGGAGGCAGCAGGGGGGAAUAUUGCACAAUGGGCGGAAGCCUGAUGCAGCAACGCCGCGUGCGGGAUGACGGCCUUCGGGUUGUAAACCGCUUUCGCCUGUGACGAAGCGGGAGUGACGGUAAUGGGUAAAGAAGCACCGGCUAACUACGUG